GGUCCCAUCGUCUAACGGUUAGGACACUGCCCUUUCACGGCAGCGAUACGGGUUCGAAUCCCGUUGGGAUCACCA
rnacentral:tRNA from 19 species